GGGUAGGUGCCCGAGUGGUUAAAGGGGAUGGACUGUAAAUCCAUUGACUCCGGUCUACGGUGGUUCGAAACCACCCCUGCCCA
rnacentral:tRNA from 1 species